rnacentral:tRNA from 2 species
GGGCCCGUGGCCUAGCCAGGAUAAGGCACCGGCCUUCGGAGCCGGAGAUCCCGGGUUCAAAUCCCGGCGGGCCCG